AUUGAACGCUGGCGGCAGGCCUAACACAUGCAAGUCGAACGAGUGGCGGACGGGUGAGUAAUGUCUGGGAAACUGCCCGAUGGAGGGGGAUAACUACUGGAAACGGUAGCUAAUACCGCAUACUAUCGGAUGUGCCCAUAUGGGAUUAGCUAGUAGGUGGGGUAAAGGCUCACCGAGGCGACGAUCCCUAGCUGGUCUGAGCGGAUGACCAGCCACACUGGAACUGGGACACGGUCCAGACUCCUACGGGAGUCAGCAGUGGGGAAUAUUGCACAAUGGGAGAAAGCCUGAUGCAGCCAUGCCGCGUGUAUGAAGAAGGCCGUCGGGUUGUAAAGUACUUUCAGCGGGGAGGCGGUAUCCGCAGAAGAAGCACCGGCUAACUCCGUGCCAGCAGCCGCGGUAAUAC
rnacentral:rRNA from 1 species